rnacentral:rRNA from 1 species
CCUACGGGAGGCAGCAGUGAGGAAUUUUGGUCAAUGGACGAGAGUCUGAACCAGCCAAGUAGCGUGAAGGAUGACUGCCCUAUGGGUUGUAAACUUCUUUUAUAUGGGAAUAAAAUGUUCCACGUGUGGGAUUUUGUAUGUACCAUAUGAAUAAGGAUCGGCUAACUCCGUGCCAGCAGCCGCGGUAAUACGGAGGAUCCGAGCGUUAUCCGGAUUUAUUGGGUUUAAAGGGAGCGUAGGUGGAUUGUUAAGUCAGUUGUGAAAGUUUGCGGCUCAACCGUAAAAUUGCAGUUGAAACUGGCAGUCUUGAGUACAGUAGAGGUGGGCGGAAUUCGUGGUGUAGCGGUGAAAUGCUUAGAUAUCACGAAGAACUCCGAUUGCGAAGGCAGUUCACUGGACUGCAACUGACACUGAGGCUCGAAAGUGUGGGUAUCAAACAGGAUUAGAUACCCCAGUAGUC